AUUGAACGCUGGCGGCAGGCCUAACACAUGCAAGUCGAACGGUAACAGAGAGCAGCUUGCUGCUUUGCUGACGAGUGGCGGACGGGUGAGUAAUGUCUGGGAAACUGCCUGAUGGAGGGGGAUAACUACUGGAAACGGUAGCUAACACCGCAUAACGUCGCAAGACCAAAGAGGGGGACCUUCGGGCCUCUUGCCAUCGGAUGUGCCCAGAUGGGAUUAGCUAGUAGGUGGGGUAAAGGCUCACCUAGGCGACGAUCCCUAGCUGGUCUGAGAGGAUGACAGGCCACACUGGAACUGAGACACGGUCCAGACUCCUACGGGAGGCAGCAGUGGGGAAUAUUGCACAAAGGGCGCAAGCCUGAUGCAGCCAUGCCGCGUGUAUGAAGAAGGCCUUCGGGUUGUAAAGUACUUUCAGCGGGGAGGAAGGGAGUAAAGUUAAUACCUUUGCUCAUUGACGUUACCCGCAGAAGAAGCACCGGCUAACUCCGUG
rnacentral:rRNA from 1 species